rnacentral:tRNA from 1 species
GCCUGGGUGGCUCAGUCAGUUAAGCAUCCGACUUCAACUCAGGUUACAAUCUCACUGUUUGUGGGUUCGAGCCCCACAUCGGGUU